CCCCGCGCGGGUGCCUCCCCUGCCUACCCCGGCCCAGGCGGCUGGCGAGCCGGGAGUCGCUCGCUGGUCGCACGGGCCGCUUAACUGCGCCUCCGCACGAUGUGAGCCCGGUGGGCCUCCCGCUGACCUGUUGCUAAAGCAGGCCCCCCACCCCAGGCCCAGCAUGCGCCUGUCGGUGCGGAGGGCGCUGCUGGUAGCCGGCUGUGCCCUGGCCCUGGUCCUGGCGGUCCAGCUGGGGCAGCAGAUGCUGGAGUGCCGGGCAGCGCUGGCGGGCCUGCAGAGCCGCCGGCGCACCAUGCGGCCGGAGCAGGAGGACCUGGUGAUGAUGGGCAUGGACCACGAGGAGUACCGCUAUGGCAAGGCCAUGCCGCUCAUCUUCGUGGGCGGCGUGCCCCGCAGCGGCACCACGCUGAUGCGCGCCAUGCUGGACGCCCACCCCGAGGUGCGCUGCGGCGAGGAGACCCGCAUCAUCCCCCGCGUGCUGGCCAUGCGCCAGGCCUGGUCCAAGUCCAGCAAGGAGAAGCAGCGGCUGGACGAGGCGGGCGUGACGGACGAGGUGCUGGACGCCGCCAUGCAGGCCUUCAUCCUGGAGGUGAUCGCCAAGCACGGCGAGCCGGCCCGCGUGCUCUGCAACAAGGACCCCUUCACGCUCAAGUCCUCCGUCUACCUGUCGCGCCUGUUCCCCAAUUCCAAGUUCCUGCUGAUGGUGCGGGACGGCCGGGCCUCGGUGCAUUCCAUGAUCACUCGGAAGGUCACCAUCGCAGGCUUCGACCUCAGCAGCUACCGCGACUGCCUCACCAAGUGGAACAAGGCCAUCGAGGUGAUGUACUCCCAGUGCAUGGAGGUGGGCAGGGACAAGUGCCUUCCGGUGUACUAUGAGCAGCUGGUGCUGCACCCCCGGCGCUCCCUCAAGCUCAUCCUCGACUUCCUCGGCAUCGCCUGGAGCGACGCCGUCCUGCACCACGAGGACCUCAUCGGCAAGCCUGGCGGCGUCUCCUUGUCCAGGAUCGAGCGAUCCACAGACCAGGUCAUCAAGCCUGUGAACCUGGAAGCGCUCUCCAAGUGGACUGGUCACAUCCCUGGGGACGUGGUGAGGGACAUGGCCCAGAUCGCGCCCAUGCUGGCUCGGCUUGGAUAUGACCCCUACGCGAACCCUCCCAACUACGGCAACCCGGACCCCAUCGUGAUCAACAACACGCACCGGGUCUUGAAAGGGGACUAUAAAACACCAGCCAGUCUGAAAGGAUAUUUUCAGAAUGUGAGCUACACGAGCACAAGAUUGGGUCUGUCGGGUUCACGUACCCCAGCACCUGGCACGUAGUAGGUGUGCAGUGGAUAUUCGAUGGGUGAACCAGAACAGCACCUCCUCCCCCUUGGGAAGCUCAUGAUUUCCAGAUCUCUGCGAGUGGCUCUGUUGCCAGGAAGGGCAGAAACUCUGCGCUGGAGUGGAAAUCGGACCUCGAAUCCAAGCAUAUUGCUUGCUGUUACGGGACUGCUCACGAGGAAUGUAUUUGCUUCUGUUUGCAAAGCCUGGACCCUGGAGGACUCUUCCUGAAACACUCUGCCUUCGGAUACUCUGGGAUAGAAAACGAAGAGUGUGGAAGUAGUCAGGCCUUUGAAACUUAAGUAUUUUAUAUUUUUCCCCUUGAGAACUUUUUUUUUAAGAAAGGCAGGAACUUGGCCACCACCCCCCCCCCCACCCCUUCGCAGGACCGCCUCGGUGGCUUCGUUGGCCGGGACAAGGCCCACAGCCUGUGCCUCUGCUAUUGACUCUUAUUUUUGAAUUCAAAGAAUCUAUUUAAAAAUUUAAUAUAUGAGGCUUUCUUUGAUUCCUCCUUAGUUCUCAAUUUCACAAAGAAAAAAAUAUAUUGUUGACUAUAG